CAUGCUGCUCACUUUGUUUUCUGGCUUCAUUGUGCCACGUCUGCAAAUUCCAAAGUGGUGGAUUUGGAUGUAUUAUCUAUGCCCCACGUCGUGGGCACUGAAUGGGUUGCUUACUUCACAAUAUGGAGAUAUAAACAGAGAGAUAUCAGUAACAGCCUUUACAGAUGCAAAAACCAGAACAAUUGCUGAAUUUUUAAGAGACUACUAUGGUUUUCACCAUGAUUUGUUAGGUGUAACUGGUGCACUUCUCAUUGUAUUCCCUGUUAUAUUUGCCCUUCUAUUUGCAUACUGCAUUGGACACCUCAACUUCUUAAGGAGGUAAAAUCGUUUUGUAAAGAGUGCCCCUAUAGAACCUUCAUGUCACAAUAUGUAAAUCAUUUGAUCAAUAAAAUCUUAUUCUUGUGUUUCUGA